rnacentral:lncRNA from 1 species
GCCGCCGGCCGAGCCGAGGCCGGACUCGGGGGAGCCGCAGGGAGAAGACCGGGCCGCGGCGACGGUGGCGUCCGGCACCCGCGCCUGCGCACUGCGCACUCUCCCGCUCUUCGUUCUUUCUGCUGCGGAAGGUUGCGGGACAUCUGUGUCCCCAGAUGAGGGCCGCCAGAGUCAGCAAGGGCCAGAUCACCAGCCACCGAAAGAGCCCCGGAGCCGGGUGGGCGUGCCCACCUCUAAUCCCAGCAGCUCGGGAGGCUGAGGCAGGAGGAUCCCAAGUUCAAGGCCACCCUCAGCAACUCAGUGAGACCCUGUCUCAAAAAAGGGUGAUGCUGGGGACAGAGCUGAGUUGGUACAGCACUUCCCUGCGUGCAUGAGGCCCCGGGUUCGAUCCCCAGCCCCCCUCCCCACACACAUGCACACACACACACACACACACGCACACACACACACACACGCACACACACACGGAGGGGGGGCUAGGGGCGUGGCUCAGCGGUCGGGGAGGGCCCCUGGCUUCAAUCCCGGUACCAACCACAGAAGGCCCCGGGACGCCCAGUGAAAUACGAAUUUCAGAUGAACAACAGCUACUUCCUCAGGGUAAGUAUAUGCCGCGUCCUAUGAGUGUGAGCGUGUCCCGGGUGUGGACAGUGUGAGUAUGUCCUGUGCAAUGUGGGGCCAGCCCCUGGGGGGCGUCCGGCGCUGGCCCCACUUCUCUCCCACCAGCCCCGUGGGCCAAGAGUCCUGCCCAGGAGGGCACAGAGGCGCAGGGCAGUGGUCCACCUGCCCGGGGCCCUGGGGUGUGCCUCCUGGCUGAGGGCUGGGGUGCCAGGGAGUGGGGGGGGCUCCGGCAGAGCCUCCUGUGCCAUGGGCUGUCACCUCUCUCACCUCAGGAUGGCAGGUUCAGGGACCCUGCUUCCGGCCACGCUUUCCUGAGCCCUCACCUGUUGGGAAAGUCCCUGUGAGUCACCGGGGCCGGAGGUGGUGCGUCAGAGUGUGGCUGGGGACUGGGUGGGCAGAGCCUCGCCUCAUGGCUGGAGGGGGCAUCAUGGAGAAGGGGGCAGCCAGAUGGGGUGGCCCGCGCCCGUAACCCUGGUGACUCAGGAGCUGAGGAGGGGGAUCACGCUCGAGGCCAGCCCGGGCAGCCUAGCAAGGCUCUGGCAGCUUAGUGGGUCCUGUCUCCAAAAGUGGAAAGGGCUGGGGUGUGGCCCCGUGGUAAAGCCUGGGUUCAACUCCCAGGCCCCGAACCAAACCACACACCUGCACAGUGAAGAGGGGACAGGUGGGACCGGACGGGCCUCUUGGCCUCCUGGCCUCCUUCCUACCCCACGGCCUCACCAAGCAGGGCCUCGCUGACACCCAGUGGGUGCCUGGAGUGAGGCCCUGGAGCCCUGGGGAGUCUGAGCUCCUGUCGGGGCCUGAGCCUCCUCUCCACUCACCUCCUCGCCUCGGCUGCUGCACAUCUGUUAACGGUGUAUUUGACUUGAGCGCCUACUGUAUGCCAUCAGGCACUGUUCUAGGAAUGGCCGAGGGGGUGACCCAGAGAACAAGCCAGACAUUAAGCCUGGCCCUCAUGAGCUGAGGUCUAAUGGGGAGGCAGAUAAUGGACUCCUAAGGAAGAUAAUUUUGGGUGGGAAAAGUACUAAGAGGGAAAUAGAUGAAAGGGGAGGUGCCCGGGCAGGGCUGUAGGGGUUCUGUCUCCCUUGAACAGAGACCCAAAAGGUGAGAAGGGCACCUUCGGGGCCCUGUGGGGAAGUGUUCCCAGUCAGGCCAACAUCAGGCGUAAAGGCCCCGAGGCAGAGCUGGGGAGGUCCCACUUAGGAGCCACCUGGAUCCUCCCUUUCCCUCUUCAAACUCUGCGGGUGUCACCUCCUUGGAGAGCUUCCUUGGUGACCGUGGCCAGACUCACCCCUGCUUUACCUGGAGUGCUCCCUGCUCUCCACAGCGCAUGGGACAGCGUCAUCUCUCUUUCCCCACAAUGACACUGUCAAGAGUCUCCCUCGCCCCCCACGGGGUGCAGAAUGUGUGGGGGCCACGAGGACACUGCGGGCCCUGUGGGGGAUGGCAGCGGAGAUGGGCGUGACGUCUGCCUUGGAUGCCACACCCGAGCGUGACAGGCGUCCCCUGAACAGCGCCACAGUCCUGUUGGCUGCCACGGCUGCUCGGUGUGUCCGGACCUGCCGAGCGCUUUCCCCUCUUGUGGUGAGACUCGCGAUCAGGUCCCCUGGUCCCCUUCGCAGCAUGCGAGACCUUGACUGCCACCUAGUUCCCCGAGGAAGCCCUGAGCCCUGGUGCGUCCCCCUCCAGCCAGCAGCUGGAGUUGCUGAGAGGUGCCACCUUACGGACAGGGACAGGGCACGUGCCACGGAUCGCCUCUGGGGCGCGGCCCAGGCCACGUGUCUGGAAGAGCAUCUCCUGGCUAUUCUGGGUCCGCGGGAGGACAGAGCCGCGGGGGCUGGGGCGACUCCGGGGACACCUUUUAAAGCCUCUGGGGUCUUGGGGCAGACUCUCAGCAGGACCUAAGAGGGAGGCGCGGCUUUGCCCCAUUCUGCAGAUGGGGACCCUGGGCCCAGAGGGCUGUGCGCAUGAGCUGAGCUCGCGGCAGGACGAGGGGACAGGAAAGGCCAGUCCCCAUCCAGGCUCAGCCUCUCCGCUCGUCCCCAGCAGGGGAGCUGGGGGGGGACAGCCAGUUUCCACGUCACCUUCUCUUGGACCGCAGCCCUUUUCUGCCCCUUCCUGGCUGUGUGACAUUGGGCAGUGUGUCCACCUCUCUGGGCCUCUCUGUCCCCAUCAAAGGGUGGUUCCAGGGGUAAAAGCUGAGCGGUGCUGUGAUUUGUCGUCUGUCGCAGAGGACGGCCCUCUAGUGCUGAGAGCCCGAGGGCUUGGGUUGUGGGGCUGGGGACAGAAGGGCUCGGAGGGCCACAGAGCUGGAAAGUGGUGGCGUCCACCUUGCAAAUCGCAAGCCCACGCUGCCCUGGAUGACCCGGAUCCGAAAAAGGCCCCUAGUUUUCCGAAACUGCUUGGACCCCGAGGAGGGCCUGCUGGCGGGGCUAAUUCCCCAGGACUGCACUGCGCGGCUCAGUGGGUGACAGAGAUCAGGAUAUAAUUCGUCCCUGAGACAGGGUGGCAGAAGUUCCAGGGCGAGAUUCCCAUGUGGGUAUGGCGGGUGCGUCCCCAGGCCUCUUUGUUGAGACUUAGCACAGACCAGGCUCCGGAGGACAGUGGGGACAUCUUUGGGCAUCAGCUGAGGGCCCAGCAGUGUGCUGGGGGGACGGCGCACUGACGGAGCCACUCAGAACCCAGCCUGGAAGGUCGUACCGAGUGCAGAGGCCCAGAGAGGUGGGGACACUUGCCCAAGGGUAAACAGCUGAAGAGUGGAGUCAGGAUCGGGACGGAGCCCACUCUGAACCUCUGUUCCUUCCCCUGGGAAGCCGAGAGAGAAACCAUGUCCAGUCCCCGGAUGAUCUGAGGAGGUUCCCGGAGGGAGUGGGGGGCACUCGUCCCAGGAGGUGACCUGUGUCCUGAGUCCCGGGUCUUCCUGGCCGUGUGUGGGGCUGGGCGUUGGUGAGGAAGGGGGACCCCAGCUCUGGGGCUGGAGGGGUGUCAGCAUUGAGGGGGUCUGGGGCCUCCCCUCCUGCAAGUGGGGUCCCUGGGAAAUCGCUGGGUCUGUCGGCUCCAGCCAACUCCAGCCCCCACCCCCCCGCGCCCUCCCAGGGUCCCGUUCUGUGGAGGGAGGUGCCGGCCGAGGCAGGACUGGAGGUUGGCCACACUGGCUGCAGCCCAGCGGCUGAGUCCUGGCAGGAGGAGGCCAGGCUCCUGAGUCACAGCUUCCUGCUGUCAACCUGGCGGGAGGGAGACCGGGGGAGGGCCUGGCAGGGUGGGGGCCCAGGUCCCAGGGCAGCCUUCAGACAGGGUCCCCAGGUCAGAGGUGAGGGGGCCCUGCGGUGCCUGAGGGGGUCCCUGUUCCCCCGGGUCACGGGCAGCGGCCUCUGCCGUCCUUACCCCUUCUCUGCCUCCCUCUCUCGCGCACUUCCUCUGCAGCUGGCCUCUCUCUCUCUCUCUCCUUUUUUUGGUACCAGGGAUUGGACCCAGGGUGCUCUACCUCUGAGCCACCUCUUUUAUUUUUUAAGAUGUUGAUGUCUUAAAAAUCAACAAUGUCACCCUUUCUUUUAUUUUUUAUUUUUUUAAAGAUGUUGAUGGACCUUAUUUUUAUUCAUUAAUUUUUAUGUGGUGCUGAGAAUUGAACCCAGGGCCUCGCACGCGCCAGGCAAGCGCUCUGCCACUGAGCCCCAGCCCCAGCCCCUCCCCAGUCCUUUUUUAUAUUUGAUUUUGAGAAGGGGCCUCAACAAGUUGCUGAGGCUGGUUUUGAACCUGCCAUCCUCCUGCUCUGGCCUCCUGAGUUGCAGGGAUCCCGGGCCUGCGCCCUGCGCCCCACUCGGGCAGGGUUUCUGUUGUCUGUUUGCAGCUGGGAGCCUGAACCCAGAGCCAAGCCUCAGGGCUGCGGGGGAGUACUCCACCACUGAGCCACAGCCCCAGUUCUUCAGGCAGAGGUUUCGUACCACUCGGGAUUUAAUCUAGGUUAAAAGGAGACCCCUCGCUGAGCUGGGUGGUGCAAGCCUGGAAUCCCAGCAACUCAGGAGGCUGAGUCAGGAGGAUUGCAAGUUUGGCCCAGUCUCCGCAACUUAGUGAGCACCUGUCUCAAAAUUAAAAAACAAAGAAAACAAGAAAAGAAAGGAAUUGGGAUGUGGCUCAGUGGUGAGUUCAAAUCCUAGAGCCCGAGCAAAACAAAACAAACCCCAAAAGUCUUGGCCUGCCCUUCCUGGCCAGGUGGCCCUGGCCACGCACUUCAACGUCUGUGCCCUGGCUCCUCAUCCUUGUGUGAGGACCAAAGGUCCACGCAUGGCCGGGACGUGACCUCAUGUCACUCGGGGAGGCUCCUCUUGAUCUGCUCUGCUGCGGGCCCACACCUGGUCUCAUGGAUGAAUCUGGACAGCGGAGGUGGCCCGCUCAGGACCACACAGCCAGGAGAAGGCCGAGUCAAGACGCACGGCCCCAAAGUCCAGAGCCCACAGACUCACACUCAUCUGCAAAAUAUGCAAGGUGCAGACCCCUGGGCAGAGGCCUGGGGGCACAGAGGCCCGGGGCCAGUCAGCAGACCCUGCCGUGGUCAGAGGGGAUGUUCGUCCAGCCAGAGGGUGUGAAGUGCACUGCCCCAGGGCUGCUCUGGGGGCCGGUCCUUCCUGGAGCCCCACAGCUGCCCUGUUCCCCACGCCCAGGAGGGUCAGGUGACGGCAGCGCCUGCAGGUGCAGGGCAGGUGGUCCAGGGACCGAGCGGAGGCAGUCGGGCACGGGGGCGGCCGGGAGAGGAGAGUGGGCUUCACCAGGGAAACAGGAGGCCUGCAGUUUGCUGGGAAUCUUGUGGCUGAGGACACUGUCAAACCCCGAGGGGUCGAGCCAGCCUUCUCUGACCCUCGGAGCUGGCUUGGUCCUUGGCCUCCCGUCCAGGGUUUCUGCUGGUCAGUGGGGUCACAGGUUGGUGCGUGCCAUGUUCCUAGAGGAGUCCCAAGGCCCCCGCCUGUGUUCACUUCCCCCCUGGCCAGGCCUGGUGAGGAGCUGGGCCUGCCCAGGCAGGGACUGUCCUGUCUGCACCCUCCCGUCUCCUGUGUCUCCAGGAUCUCUCUGGACGAGACGCCCCGACAGUGUCUGGGCCCCUGCCAGCCCCAGCCCAGCGGCCCGGGCUCCCUGGCUGGAGCAGCUGGGUGUGAGGGUCGGCGAGAGGGUCUCCGAGGGAGGCCGGUUCUGGCAGCCAGGGCCGCGUGGAGGGCUUCCCGGAGGAGGGGUCCUGGAAACAGGUCCAUAGCUGACGUCUUGGGAGUCAGAAUCCCAGACCCCCACGGGGGCAUGACUGUGUCAUCUCUGUCAUUUCUGUGUCCCCAGUUUCCAGAUACACAGGAAUAUGGAGAGCAGGCUCUGCCUGCUGGGGUUUUCCAUUUCAAAAGUAUAUAAAGUAGCCAUUUGCCCUAAACUACUCUUUUUUUUUUUUUUUUGUACUGGGGAUUGAACCCAGAGGAUUUCCCACUGAGCCAUGUUCCAUUCCUUUUUACUUUUUAUUUUAAGGCUGUCAUUAAGUCGGUCAGGGUCUCCCUCAAUUGCUGACUGUGGCUUCGAACUCGGCAUCCUCCUGCCUCGGCCUCCCAAACUGCUAGGAUCACGCAGUGCGCCCUGUCAGCUGACCUGUUUUGAGCCCCAGUGCUCAGGCGGAAGGAGUGGUGACGUGUCCAGGCACAGAUCGCCACCAGGUUCGACACCCAGGACUUCUUGGAGAGAAGAGCCCGCCUGCCCAGCACAAUGUCAGGCACCGUGGAUAAAUGGACCAAUCACGUCGGGACAGUGGCCACCUGAACUUCUCAGAGGAGAUCAGAGGCACGUGGUGGCGGGCGUGCUGCGGACACGGCAGCCCACGGGCGACCCACCCUCCCCCAGAACAUGUAAAGGGAGGCACCUGGGACUGCGGUCAGUGGCACGCUGACCCAGCCUCUUAUCAGACCAUCCAGCAAGCGCGUCACAGAGUGACAGGCCACCAACUCCUGACUCUGUCCCCGGGGCUCCAGCCCAGCUCUAUCUCCCUGACUGACGUGGCCCGUUUCGAAACUGCCUGCUGUCCAGCUUGGUGGCUUGUCGCCCAGCUGACCACCUGCGGGGACCCUGUGUUUGUGGCCCUCCCUGCUCCCGGCAGUGUCCCCCACUGUGGCAUGCGCUGGGGGAUCCCAGGGCUUGCACCUGCUGGGCGAUGCGCUCCCACUGAGCCACACCCCAGCCCUUGUUGUUUUAGGUAGGUUCUUGGUAGGUUGCCGAGGCUGGCCUUGAACCUGUGAGCCUCCUGCCUGGGCCUCCAAGUUGCAGAGACGAUAGGUAGGUGUCUGUCUCCCCAGUUGAGAACUGCCUCCUUGGCCACGGUGAGCCCUUUCUUAGACUUUCUGUAACGUCUGUCUGUCUGUCUCACUGUGAAGCAUGGCGUGGGACUUGGCGGUAUGGGUCUUGGUGAUUAAGAUUGAAGGAUAAAGGAACCUGUGAUGGCCCUGAUCAUGGCUGCCAGGUGAGCCAGGGGUACUCGGUGAAUUAUUGCUGAUGAAAGUGGCACAGCGGGUGAGUUUCAUUGUCGUUCACAACUGAAAUCACGGAAAGACACAGAUACAUCGGAUCUAGCUGAGGGCGUGGCUCACUCAACACUGAGGUCAUGAGAGAGCAGCCGACAGGAGCUGAGAGAGCCCAUGUGCCAGCAGGGCGCUGUGCACGACCCUGUAAGGUAGGUGUUACGUCAUCUCCCAUUUUAUAUAUGAGGAAACUGAGAGACAGAGAGGUUAAGUAUUUUGCCCAAGGCUGCACAGCCAGCAAGUGACUACUGGUGUUGAAACCCAAGCCUGUCCGUAGAGCUUAGUGCGCAUCACUUCUUGGAAGAUUUAACGUGCCCUUUCCAUGGGGUAGUGGGGAGUCACAAAAGUUAGGCUUAUUUUUUUUCUGCUCUCUCUGUCCAUCUACUUUGGCCUGGCAAUUAGUAGGUGCUCAAUAAGAAUCU